rnacentral:rRNA from 1 species
GAUGAACGCUGGCGGCGUGCCUAAUACAUGCAAGUCGAGCGAACAGAUGAGGAGCUUGCUCCUCUGACGUUAGCGGCGGACGGGUGAGUAACACGUGGAUAACCUACCUAUAAGACUGGGAUAACUUCGGGAAACCGGAGCUAAUACCGGAUAAUAUAUUGAACCGCAUGGUUCAAUAGUGAAAGACGGUUUUGCUGUCACUUAUAGAUGGAUCCGCGCCGCAUUAGCUAGUUGGUAAGGUAACGGCUUACCAAGGCAACGAUGCGUAGCCGACCUGAGAGGGUGAUCGGCCACACUGGAACUGAGACACGGUCCAGACUCCUACGGGAGGCAGCAGUAGGGAAUCUUCCGCAAUGGGGGAAAGCCUGACGGAGCAACGCCGCGUGAGUGAUGAAGGUCUUCGGAUCGUAAAACUCUGUUAUUAGGGAAGAACAAAUGUGUAAGUAACUAUGCACGUCUUGACGGUACCUAAUCAGAAAGCCACGGCUAACUACGUG